AUCCAGGCCAGUUUUGCUUCAAAGCUGCAAUUCGGCAGUGCUCUAACCAGUGUCCUGCUGUAUAGAAUGACAAAGCACCAGACUGAUAUCCCUGAUGAAAAAUCCAAAAGCAGUUUACAAGAGAAAAUCAUGAAAAUACAUUUAUUUGGAUCAAGUCCUGAAAUAAUAACAACUACAAUAACAACAUAUUGAAAAAUGGAUAAUGACAAUCUUAACAACUUCCAACAGGACUUGGAACUGAUUUUUAAAUAUGCUAAAGUUUAUAGAUAGAAAACGGAAC
ensembl:lncRNA